GCCGCGGAGGCUGUAGAUCGCCUGGUGGAUGCCUUUCGGGGAGGCAUCAGCUGGAGAUCUAGUAGGAGAAGGAGAAGAGGAUAUCGGAGAAGAUGACCGGAGGCAGUCCCGUUGAGCACUCCUUUAAGAACAAGGGUACUGCGAAGACACAGCCAGCCCUUCCUCUAGUGCCAAUUCUAUUGGUGCAGAAUUCUGCCGAAGCUGGAGUUGCUAGAGUUGAGAUGACCGCAGCCACCGUCGGGACCUGCAAGGAAAGUCUAAAUCGGAGUUGGGGGUGCUCCGGCAAGACCCUCUGAUGCUCAAGUCAGUACUCUGC
rnacentral:lncRNA from 1 species